rnacentral:rRNA from 1 species
UAAGCAUAUCAAUAAGCGGAGGAAAAGAAACCAACAGGGAUUGCCCUAGUAACGGCGAGUGAAGCGGCAACAGCUCAAAUUUGAAAUCUGGCCUCGGGCCCGAGUUGUAAUUUGUAGAGGAUGCUUUGGGCGUCGGCGCCUCCAGAGUUCCCUGGAAUGGGACGCCAUAGAGGGUGAGAGCCCCGUACGGUGGGAUGCCUAGCCUCUAUAAAGCUCCUUCGACGAGUCGAGUAGUUUGGGAAUGCUGCUCAAAAUGGGAGGUAAAUUUCUUCUAAAGCUAAAUACCGGCCAGAGACCGAUAGCGCACAAGUAGAGUGAUCGAAAGAUGAAAAGCACUUUGAAAAGAGGGUCAAAAAGUACGUGAAAUUGUUGAAAGGGAAGCGCUUGCGACCAGACUUGUGCCCAGUGAAUCAUCCGGCGUUUUCGCCGGUGCGCUUCACUGGGUUCAGGCCAGCAUCGGUUCUCUCAGGGCGUUAAAAACAGCGGGAAUGUGGCUCUUCAGGGAGUGUUAUAGCCCGCUGUAAAAUAUCCUUGGGGGGAUCGAGGACCGCGCUUCGGCACGGA